UAAGUAGCUUAAUUUUAAAGUUUAAUGUUGAAACCAUUAAGAUUGAUUUAUAAUCCUUAAAUA
rnacentral:tRNA from 1 species